rnacentral:rRNA from 1 species
AGUUUGAUCAUGGCUCAGAUUGAACGCUGGCGGCAUGCCUUACACAUGCAAGGUCGAACGGCAGCACGGGAGCUUGCUCCUGGUGGCGAGUGGCGAACGGGUGAGUAAUACAUCGGAACGUACCCUGAAGUGGGGGAUAACGUAGCGAAAGUUACGCUAAUACCGCAUAUUCUGUGAGCAGGAAAGAGGGGGAUCGCAAGACCUCUUGCUUUAGGAGCGGCCGAUGUCGGAUUAGCUAGUUGGUGAGGUAAAGGCUCACCAAGGCGACGAUCCGUAGCGGGUCUGAGAGGAUGAUCCGCCACACUGGGACUGAGACACGGCCCAGACUCCUACGGGAGGCAGCAGUGGGGAAUUUUGGACAAUGGGCGCAAGCCUGAUCCAGCCAUGCCGCGUGAGUGAAGAAGGCCUUCGGGUUGUAAAGCUCUUUCGGUGGGGAAGAAAUUGCUUCGGUUAAUACCUGGAGUAGAUGACGGUACCCGCAUAAGAAGCACCGGCUAACUACGUG